GGUUUAUUGGGUUGCUAUAAAAAACAUGGAUUCACUCUGAAGCAAAAAUUUCAGAGUCCUGCGAUUCUCACGGUGAAGCUCGAUCGAGGUUUUCCCUGAAACAGAGCGACGGAGAUGCUCGCAUCUGAGAAGAUUGCCUAAAACCGAGUUGAUUGAAGGUUGUAAACUUCAUAUCUAGGGUUUACCCUCUUUCCAAAUCAGACGAUCGACUCCAAGGUUUGAAGAACUAGAAUCGA